rnacentral:lncRNA from 1 species
UAUCAUAUUUGUUUAAAUGCAUUCAUCCUCCACUUUGCAUUACCUUGCAUAUAAAAAUUUUAAAAAUAAAAAUAAUAAAAGAAAAAUAUUUGCCUCUUGUCUUCAUCACUCAUUAUCUUGUCUCUAGUAUAAUGAAUCUUGUUCAUCCUAUCACGCUCCCUCUUUCUAUGUUAGUAUGCUUUGGUUUGGUUACACUAAUCGCUCGAGUGAGUACCUCCAUAGUCUUUUUAAAUUAAGCAUGGUGCUUAGGUUAAAUAGACUACCUUAAUCAAACAAGACAUGGUGUUAAGUUUGAUUAUUGAACCAAACAUACUUGCAUGGAACUUGGUUGCACUUUUGGACUAACCCCGGCAGCAAUAACAUCGAUAUCUCUAUGGGUAAGUCAUGAGAUCAUUCAUGGAGACAACUUG